GAUGAACGCUGGCGGCGUGCCUAAUACAUGCAAGUCGAGCGAACGCACGAGAAGCUUGCUUCUCUGAUGUUAGCGGCGGACGGGUGAGUAACACGUGGAUAACCUACCUUUAAAACUGGGAUAACUUCGGGAAAGCGUAGCUAAUACCGGAUAAUAUUUUGAACGUCAUGGUUCAAAAGUGAAAGACGGCCUUGCUGUCACUUAUUGAUGGAUCGGCGCUGGAUUAGCUAGUUGGUAAGGUAACGUCUUACCAAGGAGACGAUGCAUAUCCGACCUGAGCGGACGAUCAGCCACACUGGGACGGAGACACGGCCCAGACUCCGACGGGAGGCAGCAGUGGGGAAUUUUGGACAAGGGGGGAAACCCUGAUCCAGCAAUGCCGCGUGGGUGAAGAAGGUCUUCGGGUCGUAAAGCUCUUUUAUCCGGAAAGAAAUUGCGCUGGAUAAUAUCUGGCGUGGAGGACGGUACCGGAAGAAAAAGCCCCGGCUAACUACGUG
rnacentral:rRNA from 1 species